GAAAAUAUUUAUUUGCAGAUGUCGCAGGUAAUGCAACAUAUUAUUAGCUAAAUAUGUUAAGCUAACGUCACAGUUUUUAAAGAGUACAAUUUGCAAAGGCACUUCCAGAGCAAGUAUGCAGCGAAAUACUAAAAAUGUCACCCGAUGCUACAAUUCAACAAGUCCAAGCCUCACUGAUGAACAUCUUGCAGCAGCACCGCACACUGCUUCAACAGUACCGCACACUGCUUCAACAGAAAUGACUCCUGACUUCACCUCACUUGUCAACGCCCAUACGAGGCUCUCCUGUUCAUAUUGAGUCAUUUGACUCCACAAAGGAAGGAAGAAGUCACCAGGUCCGCUGCUGCUAGUGGCAAUGCAAAUCCAUCAUGGACGCUGCAGGUCAAGUCAUUAUUAUUCACAUUCAUUCUUGCAAAGAUGAAUAUGCUUCUGAAAUGACCCUUUCCAUCACAGUAGUACAUUCUAUUAUAAACCCUAUAAAGAAUAGUCUAGUCCCCUCAGACAUAGGCUUUGUCCCAGAUGACCUCCUAUUCCCUGUAAUGCCCAGGAUCUGUCCAGGGUUAUGAAGAGCCGUGUGGCGUAUGGGUGGUGCAAUUUGGGAUGCGGACUGAUCCGUCCCCGGUUCUCUCCUCUCCCAGCCACUCCCUACCCCCACUGUUUCCUGUGCCUGUGCCCAAGGUCAGCCUUAAUAAUGACAGACUCAGCAGGCUCCUGCCAUCCCAGCCUGGCUCUCUGUGCCCGGUUAUACCCCCUUUACAUCACCGUCCGGAGUCCCUUCAGGUGCCGCCCAAACCCCCCUCUAUUCAAGGUAGUGGGUAGAGUGUGUCAGCUGGGACAACGCCACGGUCACACCACGUUCACUGCAGCCAUCCUUCCACCUACACCAAGUCACAUAGAGACAGGCAGAAGGCACAGUCAGAAGUCUAUUACUGGGCAGGCAGCGGAGAGAGAGACUCAUCACUAUGUAUCGCAUCAUCAGCUUGGGCCUCAUCGUGUAUUUAUGGCCCAUUCGCUCAGAUCCAGUUUUAUU
ensembl:lncRNA